GACGCCCCGGGAGGGUGACCUCCGCGCCGGCACCGCCCCCUCCCCAGCCGGAGUCCCGGGGGUUCGGGGGCGCGCUUUCCCAGGCUCCGGUGGAGUCGACCGACAGCAUCGAGCGAUGCUCCGGAUUAGAGAGAGAGGCUAAAGGGAUUGGCGCUCCCGGACCUCGGGCUCGACUGGGCCGGCUGGGGAGGGGGCGCCGUUCACCCUGGGCGCGCCCUGACUCGGGGGACGGUCGCCAGGCAGGAGGACGCGAGCAGGGGCAACGCCGAUGGUUCGAAAAGGGAACGCUUGCAGAGCGCCUGCAGUGUGGCCUGCGCCGUGCCCGGGGCCCAUUGAGCACCCAGACAGCUCGGAGCUACCCUUCCGGGGCGCACAGGCCAACGGCACCUACACUCUGGUCUGUUAUCUUCCGCUUCCCCGGUGCCCUGGAAAAGCCACGUGCAUACCGAAGCGACUCAAUAAUAAUGUGUGUUGAAUAAACGAGUGAUUGUUUUAA